CGUAUGUUAAAGUUGUUGCGGCUAAAAAGCUCGUAGUUGGAUUUCUGUUGAGGACGAGUGGUCCGCUCUAUGAGCGUGCAUCUACUUUGGCCUCGGCAUCCGCUCUUCUGUUGUACUGUGCUUGACUGCAUGGUUCAGUGGUAGGGCCUUUUACUUUGAGGAAAUUAGAGUGUUCACGGCAGGCAAUCGCCUUGAAUAUAUUAGCAUGGAAUAAUAACAUAGGAUCUUGGUUCUAUUUUGUUGGUUUCUAGGGCUAGGAUAAUGAUUAAUAGGGACAAUUGGGGGCAUUCGUAUUGCGGUGUCAGAGGUGGAAUUCUUGGAUUACUGCACGACGAACUACUGCGAAAGCAUUUGCCAAGGAUGUUUUCAUUGAUCAAGAACGAAAGUAAGGGGAUCGAAGACGAUUAGAUACCGUCGUAGUCUUUACCAUAAACUAUGCCAACUAGAGAUGAGGCGUCGUUCUUACAUGACUCGCUUCGCACCUUAUGAGAAAUCAAAGUUUUUGGGUUCCGGGGGGAGUAUGGUCGCAAGGCUGAAACUUAAAGG
rnacentral:rRNA from 1 species